UUAGCUAUUUUCACAUGAUAAUUCCCGAUCACCGCACUCGCAACCAUCUUCAUUUGAAUCAAAGCUUUGUCCUUCCCUAAACAAUUUCUAGGACCAGCAUGAAACGCAGUGAACUUGUAUGACGGCACAUGCACAAUACACCCCUUCUCUGAAAUCCAUCUCUCGGGCUUGAACUCUAAACAAUCAUUGCCCCAUAUCUCUUCCAUCCUCCCCAUUGCAUAAUAAGAAAUCAAUACCGUUCGAUUCUUUUUUAUGUGAUGACCACUUGGGAGAAUGUCUGCUUGUGCUGCAAUUUUGUGAUUGUACGGUAUUGGUGGGUAUAGUCUUAAUGUCUCACACAAGGCUGCAUGCAGAUAAACCAAACUGUUUACCUCUUUUGCUUUGAAGAAAAAUCUCUUUUCCCCAUCUUCUUCUCUUUUGUGCAUGACCAUAUUGGCCUUGAUCUCUUCAAGAAUUUUGUUUUCAACUGAUGGAUGUGUGGCAACAAGCCAAAAAAACCAAACGAGGCCUGAACUUAUAGUAUCAUUUCCAGCUCCCAAGAAACUGAAUGCUGUGUCUCUUAGAAACUUGUCAGUUUUUCUCAAAGCACAUAUUUGUUCAUCCUCUUUCACUUCCUCUUCUUCUUCUUCCAUAAAAGCUGCUAAUAAGUCAAAUUCAUCCUCCUCCUCCUGCUGUUGCUCCAUAUUAGCUUUUCUACCAGAAAUGCGCCCGUACAGGAAUCUAUCAAAAGUCUUCCAAGCUCUACUAAGCUUCUUCUCUUCUCCAAUCUGAAGCCAUUUUUGCAGCUUCCAACAACAUUUUGGCACAAUAUGUCGAUAAAGUACAGCUUGCUCCAUUGCGUUAAAUGCAUUUGCAUAAACAGUUUGAGGGAACUCAACAGAGAGAUAAUUUGGAUUAAUUCCUAAAACCAACAUACAGAUAUUGUCGAAGGCAAAUCGCUUAAGCACAUCUUGUAAGUCCACCACGGUCCCUAGUUCUGAGGCAUGAUCAAGAACUGGGAUAAGACCUGUUUCUAGCUUUUGAUGAGCAACUUUUUCUACAGCAGACUCGAACUUCUUGUGCUUCAUCACUGAAUGGAUUAUUUUCCUCUGUAUUUUCCACAGGUCUCCGUCGGCAUUGAAAACACCAUCUCCCAGAGGCUCCAUGAUCAUCCUAAAGUCAGGUCCCUUUGGGUAGUUGCUGAAGUUCUUGCUGCUGAUGUAGUGAACAUUCAUAGGAUCACUGGUGAUGAUGAGGUCCAUUUGGGCAAACCAGGGCCCUGUGAACUCAAAUGUGCCCCGCUUCUUUUUCAAAACAUCGUGUGUGAGAAAUUCAUGGAGACGCCAUGUGUUCCCAAGUAAUCCUGGCAGCAUCCCAAGGACGGGCCGGUUUCUCUUGAGAGAGUUUCUACUCCAACCCCAAUGUAAAACAAUUAUAAGAAAGGAAAUAAGAAAUAUUGCUAGGAUCAUCUCUCCAUAAGCAAAUGUAAUGGCCAUUGAAGAAGUUAUCUUUUCAAAGUCAUGUAUAUUGUUCAAAUUACAUAAAACAAUUAUAGUCCUUUCAUUAGUAAUGAAUCGAGUCUAGGUUGAUUAAGACGUGAACGUGUGACUUGUCUUCUCCAAGUCCAUAUAUAUAAUUUCGCAAAUUAGUUUUUAUAUGGGAAAAUAUUCUUUUUAUUUUGCCUGUAUAAAUCUACAUAAAGAAAAUGCAUGAAUAUCUUUGUCAGCAGGGUUGAGUUCACAGGGCCCUGCUGAUAGUAGAAUAUACUUUUCAACCAACAUAAUUUUAAUUCAGUCCAUCAUUGAGCGGGGGCAAAUAUCUUCUCCUACUAUAAUCUAGGUGAAGCCUUCAAACUAUUUUCUCAUUAAAAGAAAAAAAGAAACAAACAUGAUAUUAGAGCCACACAAAACGUGAGCCCCCAGAACCUAAGGUGUGUUCACUCUGAUGCUACAGUAAAGACGUGGACGUGCUUCUCCAAUAUUCCACAGAUAUUUUCACUCUAUCAUUGAGUGAGAGGGUAAAUAUCUUCUCCAAUAAUCCAUAGAUAUUUUCACACCAGCAUUGAGUGAGAAUAAAUAUCUUCUCCCACUAUAAUGUAGAUGAAAUAGAUAUCUUAUUAAGGCAAAACUUCCGUUACAUUAGCUGGACGUUACAGCUAAAAGAUUUUAAAUCCUUCGUAAAAUUUAUAAUUAUAGAAGUCAAUGAGUUUUAAAAUUUUGUUUUAAACCCCAAGAUGCCUGUAAAAAUCUUUGAAAUUUCCCAGGAGGGAUAUUAGCCACCCUUUCGUCAACAUCAAUGGCAAAUCCUAUGCCCCCUCAAGUCUUUAUUAUUUCGCACAGUUCCCAAAAUUCUAUCCACAUUUGCCUCAUAGGUUUGUAUAUCUUCAUCUUCUUUUAUCACGUUUUUAGUCGGUUUUUUAUCUGGCAAAGAAAAUUUGAUUUUGAUCACAUUUGGUCUCAUCAAACCAACUUAUGACUAUUAGAGAUAUUAAAUAAAUUUUUAUAAAUUUCAAAAGAAAGGCAAAGGCAAAGGCAAAGAGAGCAAACCUUGAAUAAAAUGAAGCAACUUGUAAAUUACAAAAGGUUAAAAAUUACAUCAUCAUCAAGUUCUAGUGACUGUGCUAUUUGCUUGGAAACUUUUAGAGAUGAUGAAACUUGUUGAAUUUCUCUUGUAUACAAUCAUAUCUUUCAUUUAAAUUGCAUUGAUGGUUGGUUGGAGAUCAAUCUAAUUGCCCUCUUCGUCAUAAUUGUAUCUUCGAACUUCAAUUUUUUUUUUAAUUUUUUAUUUAUAUUUAUAGCAAAUUUAGUACAGUUUCUCAACAAUUUUUUCUAUUUUAUCUAAUUGAAUCUCUAAUUUAUUUAAUCUUAUAUCUAUUCAGUUUUUAUUCGUUAUAUUAAUGAUCUUUUACUUUAAUUUAUCUUGAUCUUCAAUGUUGAAUUAUUUCAUUAAUUGUUUAACCUUAAAAAAUUCUUUGCUCAUUUGAUCUCCUAACUUUUUAAUUUGUUUUAUAUUUUCUUCAUUGAAAUUAUUAAUCUCUAACAUUUUGUUUGCACUUUCUAUAUAAUUUAUAGAUAAAUUUGGGUUUCUUAAUUUAUUUAAUAAAUACAGUGAAAUUCAAUUUAAUUGAUUAUUAGCUCACAUGUUUGAAUCAUUGAUCCAAUCGAAAAGUUGAAAUCUUCCAUCUGAAAAUUCUUUUCGGCCAUAGCUAGAAUGUGGUAGCUUAUUGGUUUUUAUGUUUUGUGAAAUUAUUAGAAAUUUUGGUAAUUUAUUCAUUGUAUCAUUUUUCUAAUUAUUCAUUAAAUUCAUAGGAUACUUGUGAUAUAUAAUAUCUCUUAUAAUUGAGGGUGCUAAAUUUAGAUUACAAAAUCUAUGUGAAAGCAUUUGUGGUGUGUGUGUGUGUGUGUAAAAAACAUCUAGUUUAUAUCUUAAGAGAGAUAAGAACUUAUAAAUACAGGUGCAAAUAUAUAUUCAGAAUUUGUGGAUAUUUAUGAACAUGAUAAUCAUUUAUAUUCUUAUAAAAAUAUAGUAAAAACUUUUUAAAAAAAUUUAAAAAUAAAUAUAGAAAACUAUAUAAUUAUAUAAAAUUAAAGAGGACUUAUUUAAAAAAAAAGUAAAUAUGUGAUUAAAAAUAAAAUUUUCUUUAAAUUACUAUUGCACCCGUACCUCAUUUUUUUAUUAAAAUUACUUUCAUCCAUUGAAUUUAAGAAAUAUAAAAAUCAAUGAUUCAUAUCUAUUAGCUAUUUGUUACAAUAUUUGUAACAUAAGCUUUGCCUCUUAUUAAUAUUGGUAAGCUUUCUAGCUACUUUCUCUUUUUUUUUUUUAAAGAUAUUUACCCUCUAAAUAGGGCCACACAAAACGGUAGCCUCCAGACAAAAACCAGCUAUAGUAAAAAAAUCCAAGCGUUGGUUAAAAUGUGUGGUGAAAAGAAAGUUAGCUUAAUUGAGUGGUCCAUCAAAACAAAGGGUCCCUUUUCAUACAGCCACUGCAUGCCAUACAACCGUUUUUAUUUUUUAUUUUAAAACUUAUUGCCCGUUGGAUUGCUUAUAAACGGCUUUUAUUUUUUACGCAUGAAACCGGCUACCGAGCGAAAGAAUUGGAAGUGGGAACUGGCAAAUAUCAGGAGCAAUUAUCACAUAGCUACACCAAUUUUAUCUAAAUAUCGAAAUUAUCAAUUUAAAUUAGGAAAAUGUCAAAGACCCCCUCCUCAACAUGAAAAUUUUGCAUUUUGUUAUGGCUGAAAAAAUUACUUUGAAACAUGUAAUGUCUAUAUUAGUGAGAAUAAUAUUUACAUUAGUGUAAACUAAGUAUAUAUUUUUUUCUUAUUUUCCAUUUAACUAUUGGAUAGUUUUCAAAUAAUUAUAAUUAUUCAUAGUACCAAAUAUCAUAAUUAAUCAUCAAAUAUUGUUAUUCUCAAUAUUAGUUGAACUUGUGACUAAUAUUAAUGAUAUAAAUUUGUACUGUAUACAAGGUAUAUAUAAUGUACCAUAUAUUUGAUAUUUGGAUUAUACUCACAAAGUUUCUCUUACACAAAUUACUUCAUACAAAUUUAUCACAAAUUAAUUAAAUUAUUGCAUACUUUGUUUUUUUUUUUACUACAUUAUUAAAUUAUCGCAUGUAACAUAUUUGAUCUUGAGUUAUAACUAGUACUAUAAUUAAUGGUAGUUAAGGGAAAAUGAGAAUUACCUCCUACUUCCCCCUCCCCCCCCCCCCCCCCCCAAAGUUAUAAUAACGUUAGCUUUAUAUAUCAUUUUACUAACGUUAGCUUUAUAUAUCAUUUUACUAACGUUAGCUUUAUAUAUCAUUUUAUUAUUCUACCCCUAAUCUUACUGCAGCUAUAAAAUUUAAAUAUUUUGAAAAUACAAAUUAAGUAAAAUAACUUCUAUACCCUUGAUGAUCAAAUUUUAUUUUAUAAUAAAUUGUAAAUUAUAGAGAAAAAUUACAAGUAGGGAAAGUGUCGUAAAUAUCCCUAAUAGUUGUAAAUUAUCCAUUUAAAUUGGAAUAAAAUUUGGUUAUAUAUAUCCACAAUAUAUAUGUGUGUGUGUGAAGUAAUUUUUCUCGAUAAUUUAUUAUUAAAUUUAUUUAAUCAUUAGGGAUAUAUAAGUCAUUUCACUUUAUUUAUACUCUAAAAAUAUUUAAAUUUUAUGGCUAACAUCAAAACUGUGUCAAAUAGUACAAUGAUAUAUAAAGCUAACACUAUUAGUUGCAGGAGAGUUUGAACCUAUUUUAAAACAUGAGAGGGUUUUUCGUUUUUCUAAACAACAUAGGAUAAUCUCUUUUUUUUUUCAUAUUGUUAAUAACUGUCAUUAUAGUCAUUAUUGUUAUGAUUAAACUAAAUUCAGCUUAUGAUAUUUUUUACGAUAUUAUAUAUUUUUAAUGAAAUGUCUUGUAUAGUCUAUAUGAUAUUAUUUUCAAUAAUAAUAAAAGUUUAAAUAAUGUUUAUAUAUAUAGUCCAAUUGAAUGUGUUUUUCUAAAGUGUGUAUAAUUUGAUUUUAUUUUUUAACCCUGCUUGAAAACCACUCGAUCAAGUCAAUGAGGGACAAUUUGUUAAAAAUUAAAAUUUUAAUAAUAUCAAGCAUAAUUUUUUAGGUAUUAUUACAAUAAUUGUUGUUGACAUUGUGUUGUACCCUUAACUAAAUUAACAAUGUAACUAGAAGAGUGGGACUAUUGGCACCCCUCCAAAUACGUAUUAAAACCCCUUUAAUUAUUUUAUAAUUUAACCUUUAUUAAAAUUACAAAAUAUGACAAUUUCUAAUUAACCUCCACUCAAAAGUCAAAUAAUUUUUAUCUCUUAAAAAAAAACUAACAUUUUCUCUAAUUGUCAAGUAAGGAAUUUACCACUAGUGGUUGAAAUCGGAAGAAGGAAACUCGUUGUUUUUUAUUUAUUUUUUGAACGGGAGAAAUCCUAUUGUUGAAAUAUGGUUUAAUAAUAAAAAUAAAUAAAAAUUAGAUAAUAGAGUCUACACUAAUAAAUUUUGAUUAAGGGUAUUCUUGUCAUUGAUGUAGAUGUUAAAAGAAUUUUAUAAUUUUUUAAAACAUUUUAAUGGAGUUAACAAAGAAAAUGGGUGCUAAGAGAUAUUUAGAGGGAUGUCAAUAGUCUCAGUCAACUAGAAAACUAUAAUUUUAGUGCAACACCUAGAAUUAAAUAAUUUAGGGAAAAAGAUACCUACACCCUCGAGAUUUAGAAAAAUGAUCAUGUACACCCUUAUGUUUUCACCCCGGGACCCCAAGACCCCUUUGACUAUAAUACAAUUUGGAUGUAUUAAUUCAAAAAAAAUGACUUAAAUUUUUUUAAUAAGUACAAAUAUAAUUUAAAUAGUUUAAUUUGUCUAAUAAAUUAAUAAUAUUAAAACAUUUUUAAAAUAUAAAAUAAUUUUUAAAAUGUAAAUUAUGAUAUUUAUUUUAAUUAUAUAUUUGUAUUUGUUAUAAAAAAUUUAAAUAAAUCUUUAGGUUAAAUAGAUUUUAUAAUUAAUAAAAUAUAUCUCAUGUAUUAAUAGUUUAUUAAAAACUUUUAUACAAUAUUGAAAAUAAUUUAAAUUUUUAAAUAUUUAUUUUAAUAUUAUGUCUUUAUUUAUUAAAAAAUUAGUUUAAUAUAAUAUAAGACUGUAAAGUACUAAAAUGUUUUUAUAUAUUAGUUAUUUUAAAAUUUAUAUAUUGUUACAUUUAUUUUAAUAUUAUAUUUCUACUUAUUAUAAAACUUUAGAGUCAAUUUUUUGAAUUAAUAAAGUCAAAAGGCAUUAUAGUCAAAAGGGGUUUUAGUCUCUCUUAGUGAAAACUCAAGGAUCUACAUGAUCAUUUUCCCAAGCCUUGGGAAGUGACUUUUUUCAUAAUUUACACUUAAUUGCAUAUGUGAUCAUAUGAUUUAAGUAUGAUAAUUAAAAUUUUGCAGUAUAUUAUAUUUAUUUGAGUAAUACUCACUUAUAAAAUAGAUAUUAUAUAAUUUGAGUAGUAAUCAAUGAAAAAUAUGAUGUAUAAUCAAUUAUUACAAAUUUAUUACAAUAUUAGUAUACAAUAAAAUAAACUAUCACCAAAAUAUAAUAAUUAAAAACAAGGCAACAUCAAUUAAGGUAUAAAUUACGUAUCCAACUAUAUAAGUAUAUUGUUAAAUAAAUUUAAUUUUUAUGACUUAUAAACAACUAUUGCAAUUUGGAGCAAUAAAUAAAUAGUUUUAAAAUUGCAGUCAACAUUAUUGUUAAAUUAUAAUGUUGAAUUUACCUAUAAGAGAAAAUUUUCCUUUCAAUACUUAAUUUAGGAAGCAAAAUUAAUGUUUUAAUAUAUUUUCUUUUUUCUUGAUUGCAUUAAUUUUCUAAUGUGUUUUUUUUAAUACAAAAUAUAGUUUAAUUUGAAUUGCAUUUACUGUGCUUAAAGCAUUAAUUAAAGAUAAAUAAAUGGUGACUCGGUUGAAUUGGAUUUAAAGUAAAUGCUAAUUUGCAAAUCUUAAAAUUUCAAUAUAAAAAUUAAUUUUCACUAUUUCAGGGAUAAUCAUAUAAUAAAUAAAUAAAUUGUUUUAUCAUAAACAUUUGAAAAAUAAAAAAUUGAGCUGUACAAAUUGCAUAUGCAAUUGUUAAAAAUGAAAUUUUGGUUGAAGUGAUGAGAUAUCAAAGAAUUUAUUUUGGAAAGAAAAUGAGUACAAUUAAUUUGAAUUAAUAAAAUAGGCAUAUCUAUAAUGAUCAAAAGCUCAAGUAUAAAUAAGUUGAGUUUAAGAAAUCUCAUGAAGUCAAGAAGAUCAAAAAGAGAAAAAAAAUGUUCCAACAUAAUUAGAUUAGGUAAGUUCCUAAUCUUUUAACUUACAAUGUUGAUGGUAGUUUAUAGAAAAUUGAAUAGGAAUUACAAUAGUAAAAUUUUAAUAUAUUGCAGGAAGUUGAUAUUUACUGAAAUAAGAGGAGUAAAAUGAGAUUCACCUUAAUAAUAUUAUUUAUUUUUCGUAAUAAAGGUUUACUUUGAAUUGUAUAAUAUCAACCUGGAAUUUAACCAAUAAUGUUGAAACAUAAUGUAGGCACUGAGAACUUGAAACACAAAAGUAGUGAACUAAUUAAUUGAAAUAAUUGAACCCAUGAGUGAGAAAGCUUAACCAAACUAUGAGACUAAUCUAAUCAUAUAUAAAAUCUAAAAAGUAAAUUUGGUAUCUAACCCAAUUUAUUAAAAUCUUACAUAAAUAAUCGGAAUAUUCAACACAAUACUAAUGAAAUUAUUAGUUGAAACUCAUGUACCAAUAAAGGAGAAAGUUUAACCAAAAGUAGGGAUUAGUCCAACGAGAAAUGAAAUUUACUUGGUAAUUUAACUCAAAACAUUGGUACUUAACUUUUAACAAAAAUCAGGAAAAUUAUCCAACGAGAAAUACUAUAUACUUGGAAUUUAAUCCAAAAUAUUGGUAUUUAACGAUUUUAGUAGAAAUACUAAGCACAAAACUAGUGGAUUGACAAGUUGAAACAUAUAAACCUAUAGUUGAGAAAGAUUAACCAAAAUCAAGAACCCAUAGAACAAAAAAUAAAAUUUUACAAAGUAAAAUCGGGAUCUAACCCAAAUUAUUUGAAAUCUUGCCUCGAUAAUAGGAACAUUCCACACAAAAUCAUUGGAAUUAUUAGUUAAAAUACAUGAACCCAUAAUGGAGAAAGUUUAACCAAAAUAAAGAACUAUUCCGACGAGAAAUGAAAUUUACUUGGAAUUUAACCCAAAAUAUUAAUUUUUAAUGAUUUUAGUAGGAAUAAUAAAAGCAUUACUAAUGGAUUGAAAAGUUGAAAUAUAUUAGCCUAUAAUUGAGAAAGUUUAACCAAAAUUUGAUACAAAUCCAACCAAAAAUUAAACGCUACAAAGUAGUUUGGUACUUAACCCAAAUAAUUGAAAUCUUACCUAGAUAAUGGGAACAUUAAACAUAAAUCUAGUGAAAUUAUUAGUUGAAACCCUUAUACCAAUAAGGGAGAAAUUUUAACCAAAAUUAGGAACUCAUCCUAUGAGAACUGAAAUUUACUUGUAAUUUAACCCAAAAUAUUGGUAUUUAAUGAAUUUAGUAGGAACAUUAAACACAAAACUAGUGGAUUGAAAAGUUAAAAUAAAUGAACCAAUAAAUGAGAAAGACUAACCAAAAUUAGAGACAUGAAAAAUAAAUUUGAAACAUCCACCCAUGAAAUUGAUAUUUAACCAAAAAAAUUAGAAUAUAAUUAUUUUUAUAAUUUUUUAACAUUUAUUUAUGUUAAAAAAAUUUAAAAAUAUUUUUCUCAUUUAAUUGAUUUUUAUGUUUCAAAUUUAAAUUUUUCAUAUUUUUUCAUUUUAUUAUAAUUUUUAGGCAUUAAAAACAAAUUUAAAAAAUUAUUAAUGAACAACCGGUAAGAUACGGGUUGUUCAAGUUUUUGGCAGCGGAUCAUAAGAUACAGCCCAGCCCUGCACUGUAAGAUGACUCCCAAAUAAAAUGUGAAUUGCAUGCUUUUGUAAUAUCGCGGCAUGCUAUAUAAAAUGAAGCAUUUGCUUAACCGUCAACGAGUGAAAGUGGAGAGUGUUAUGGGUAAGAAUAUAUGGCCAAAGUUGAAAGAAAGUAAUUGAGAAUUGACGAGAGAGAGGCCUUAUUUUAGCUUUGACUUAUGUUAUUAAAGUUGUGGGGUAAAUCAAUAUUAUUUUAGUUUCUCCUAUAAGGGAGACUUUAAGUAUUUAAGAUUUUUAGAUAUUUUUUGUAUUCUGUUGAUGAGGGCAUAAAUUGACUAAUUACACCAACUUUAAAAGCAAUACAAUAUCUACACUUUCUAUUCAGAAAGUCCAACACAUACCUCAUUUGAGAAGGAAAUAAUCCUUUUCUUGGAUCUUAUAAACUCCAUUCCUAAGAAGCACUCAAAUUCUUUUGCAUGAAAAAACCUUCCGAUACUCUACAACUCUUUACUUCAUCUUCAGUUAAUAUUAUGCAUGUCAUUGCUUGAGUGUUUGUAGAAAAGAGUGUGAUCAUUAGCCUGACUGUCUUUUGAUACCUUAAUUUCGAGCACCUUACAUAAUUAAACACCUUCAUACCCAAACGUGGAUUCACUCAUUCACAAACACUUCCUCUGUAGCUCACCAUUUAAAAAGACUGUACGUUCUUUAAAUCUAAUUACCAUAUAGUUGCAAUGGCCAAUUAAAAAAUUACACUAAUUAACAACCACAAAAAAGAAAAAAAUAGUUGAACUUUAUUUUAUUAUUGAGAUAUUACAUCAUAGGUUAUCUCUAGAGUUCACAAGAGGCUUCUCUUGGAUAACUGAACCUUUAAACCAUACUUCAUAUUAAGUAUAAUAGACUUACGUGGUAAAACAGGAUGACCUUUUGCUACUUAAUUCCCGAUCACCGCACUCGCAACCAUCUUCAUUUGAAUCAAAGCCUUGUCCUUCCCUAAACAAUUUCUAGGACCAGCAUGAAAUGCAGUGAACUUGUAUGUCGGCACAUGCACAAUACACCCUUUCUCUGAAAUCCAUCUCUCGGGCUUGAACUCUAAACAAUCAUUGCCCCAUAUCUCUUCCAUCCUCCCCAUUGCAUAAUAAGAAAUCAAUACCGUUUGAUUCUUCUUGAUGUGAUGACC
rnacentral:lncRNA from 1 species